GGAGGAUUAGCUCAGCUGGUAGAGCACUUGCCUUACAAGCAAGGGGUCGGCGGUUCGAUCCCGUCAUCCUCCACCA
rnacentral:tRNA from 1 species